AAUAUGAAGAAGAAUCAAUGACAAAGAUGAACACAAUCAGAACAUAAUUUUGUUGAGUUUCAAAAUAUUGAUUUCAACACUAUUUUAGGGUUAUUGUUAGCAAUGAUGAUAGCUGAAGAUUCGUUACAUCACUCCCAAUCUUCCAAUCCGAUUUUCCUCCUGAGGUGACAGAUCUGUCACCGACGCCGGUGCGCAAGUGCUUGAAGAACAGCAACCUCUGCCAUCUUCGACGAUACUGUCACUGAAUCAAAAUCAAUCUCAUUUCUUUUUCUUAUCAAUCCACAAGUAAUUUUUUGAACUUUGCAUUUCUCUAUUAAAAUUAUUAUUUUCUAUAUGUAAUAUUUUCUAUUAUAAUUUUGAUGCUAAAAUUGAAAUUGGUUUAAUAUUUGUUAUCUAGUAUAUUGUUUUAUAAAUCGUUUGUUAUCUGACAAAUGAUUUGAUACAAUUCUACAUAUUUUGUUAGCAUAUACCAAAGUCUUGUCGUUAAUUGAUACAUGAUUGGUGUAGCUGAUAAAUAUUUUGAUAAAUGGUUUACUAGCUUAUACAUUUUUUUGAUUCUUGGUUUGUUUUGCUGACAAAUGGAUUGAUACUUGGUGUGAGUAAAUAUGUUGUUUGUUAAAUGAUUUGUUAUCUUAUACAUGUUUUGUUAUGCGGUAUAUGUUUUGUUAGGUGACACGAAGUUUGAUAUCAAUGAAUGAGUAAAAGAAAAGAUUCAAAAAUUUGAAAAAUGGUGGCAAUGAUAGGGAUAAAAAACAGGAGGAAAGAGAAUUGAGAAGUAUGAAAGAAAAGAGGAAAAAGAAUGAAAAAGUGUAAGAGGGAAAAAUAGUGUAUCAAUGUGUAUCAUGUUUAACAUACAACAUGUUUUGAUAUAUUGUGGUAUCAAGUAUCAUCUAAAAGAAUGAAAAAUAUUAUUAUUUUAACAUACAACAUGUUUUGAUAUACCAAAAAAUAUAUUAAUUAACAAAUCAUCUAUCAAACAAUGUAUCAGUUAUAAAAAUAUGUAUCAACUAACAAAUUAUGUAUCUACAACAAACAAGGUUAUUUCAUAAGUUUAGUUUCUAACAAAUAAGUUAACCACUAACAAUUAAUUUAACACUAAUAUUAAAAUUUAGUACGAAUUGUAUAUUUCAAAGAUAUUGAGAUCUUGCAAUCAAUUGUUAUCUCUGAUUUACAUAAAUGAUAAUCUUUGUAUAAAAUUAUGAGUGAUUUUAACUUCAUAACAUAACUAUUAUCUGAUAAUUAUAUAAUUAGAUGUUAUAUGGUUUGUUAGCGAUAUGAUAAUUCAUUUCGUUGAGAGAUUCUAAAAUUUAAAAUUUUAUAAUUAAAUUUUUAUUUAUGUAAAUUUGUCUGACUACAUGUCAGUUUAUUUGCCAGGUCUAUUCUGCUAAAUUUUCUUUUAGUUAACAUGUGCGUGAGAUGCACUCUCUUGUAUCAACACAAAAAUCGGAGAAAAUGAGUGGCUCACAACAGUUCAAACAUCAUACCUAUAUCCAGCAAGAGUCUCCUAACAAAUCUGCCAGAGGAUCUUUACCUCUCUGACUCCUCUGUCCAUCAACAUCAAACGUAAGGGCUUUUUUGUCCAAGGAGGAACCGAAAUGUAUUGGAUGUGUCUUAUAUGUCAAUCAAAUGGCAAACCUCCAAUUUGGAUCCGUUCUAAGGGUAUUUGCCUAAUUCUCCCUAUAUAUAAUGCCAAGAAGAGAAUUUCCUAUUGGAUGAUGUUGGGUGUACAAAAUUACAAAUUGGUCCUUCCUCAUUGUAUGUCUUCAUUGUAUAUCCUCUCUGAUAUUCUUCUUCUCAAACCAAGUAUCACCGGUGGGCGAAAACUACUAUGCCUGGUUAGCUUCGAAGUCUGGUGACUAUAACACUAAAUCAGGACACUUUGUGGCUACGUCUCUCCAUAACUCUCCCGUGGGGAUCGACUCCCAACUCUCCUAGGACUCUUCGACUUCGACUACGUUGGAGUGGCAGAAGCAUGUGUGGUCGGGAACUUGUGCACCAAAACUGAAGGUGUUUAUGUGGAAAAUCCUACAAGGAGCCCUCCCAAUAGGCGAGAAUCUUAGGAAGCAUGGCAUGUUACUCAAUAUUGCGUGUUGUAGAUGUGGAGAACUUGAAACAGUUGACCAUCUCUUCUUACACUGCACCUUUGAGAAGGAGCAUGGAAGCAGGGAUCGCCAAUGGCAUGAUGCGGAUGGUCCUUUCAAUCUCCCCAAGGACGUAUUCUGCUUAAUGUCUCUUGCACUCACCUCAACGUCAAAUCGCCUCUACAAGCGGAAGCACUGGCCGUUCGGGAAGUCAUCCUCAAAGCCAAGUCUCUCGGUUACUUAAACAUCUCUCUUAAAUCAGACUGUCAAGGGCUGCUUGCAGCUAUCAACUCGAAGUUCCCUCCGGCUGAGCUCUUCGGAAUUAUCCGGGACAUUGAGAAUCUAUCUAUUUCAUUUACCGCAUGUUCCUUUAUGUUUGGUUCUCGUUCCUCUAACUCCUUGGCUGAUUCUUUAGCCAAGAGAGCCCUGAGCCCUCUGUAAUGGACUCGUCCAAAAACUAGCUUUCCACUUUUAAUACAAUGAAUGUGUUCAAAAAAAAAAAUGAAUACUACACUUUUGCUUUACAAUUUUAUUAUACUCUUCACUA